rnacentral:misc_RNA from 1 species
GAUGAAGAACGCAGCGAAAUGCGAUACGUAAUGUGAAUUGCAGAAUUCAGUGAAUCAUCGAAUCUUUGAACGCACAUUGCGCCUGUCAGCACUCUGGCAGGCAUGCCUGUUCGAGCGUCAUUUCAACCAUCAAGCCCUAGGCUUGCGUUGGAGCCCUGCGGCUGCCGCAGGCCCCUAAAAGCAGUGGCGGGCUCGCUAUCACACCGAGUGCAGUAGAUUACUCUUCGCUCAGGGCGUGUGGCGGGUUCCAGCCGUGAAACCCCCUACUUCUCAAGGUUGACCUCGGAUCAGGUAGGAAUACCCGCUGAACUUAAGCAUAUCAAUAAGCGGAGGA